UGGGGAAUAUUGCACAAUGGGCGCAAGCCUGAUGCAGCAACGCCGCGUGAAUGAUGAAGGUCUUCGGAUCGUAAAGUUCUGUUGCAGGGGAAGAUAAUGACGGUACCCUGUGAGGAAGCCCCGGCUAACUACGUGCCAGCAGCCGCGGUAAUACGUAGGGGGCUAGCGUUAUCCGGAUUUACUGGGCGUAAAGGGUGCGUAGGUGGUCUUUCAAGUCGGUGGUUAAAGGCUACGGCUCAACCGUAGUUAGCCUCCGAAACUGGAAGACUUGAGUGCAGGAGAGGAAAGUGGAAUUCCCAGUGUAGCGGUGAAAUGCGUAGAUAUUGGGAGGAACACCAGUAGCGAAGGCGGCUUUCUGGACUGCAACUGACACUGAGGCACGAAAGCGUGGGUAGCAAACAGG
rnacentral:rRNA from 1 species